rnacentral:lncRNA from 1 species
AACAGAAGAUGCAGAUGUUUGGAAGGUCACGGGCAAGAAGUAAGACCCCCCCCCCCAGAUCCUACCAGCCGUGCUGCCCGCCAAGGCCCCAGCCUCUGCACUGUAAUCGGCUGUCAUGAACACCACGCACCUCCCCCGGCCGGCUGGCAGAUCCACACGACCCAGGCCCAGGAGUUUCUGGCCUGGAGAAGCUGCCAGGUGCUGACAGAUGUCGCCCUGUUGGGGCCACGGGUUCUCGCCUCUUCUCAUCACCCCAGACCCCGGGCUCCUCUCACACGGGGUUCCCGGAGCACAUCUGCACGGCCCUCCCCCAGCGAGGGAGACCUCCAGCUGUUCCCAUUUCCUCCUGGGCACGGACUCAUACUUGACUUGUUCGUCCAUCUGUGUGAAAAAUCUUCCUAGUUCUGCCGGAUGCCUAGAGCCGUGAGCUUUACAGAUGCAUAGGACAGAGGUCACUAGUUACUCAGGAUGGUGGGCAAGGCCCGUGAGGGUGUGACCCCCCCAGGGCCGGCUCCCGACACCCCUCCCAAGCCACCCGCCCACCAGGAGUUCGGGGGGACGACAGGCUUGGGACAGGCCCUGCCCAGCCCCUGCCCCAUACACACCGUGCAUCCUGAUGGCGCCCCAGCCAGUCACCCAGCACUGGUGCUCCGGGGUGACCUCACGCUGGGCCUACAAGAGCCUGACCGGCUUGACGUCAGCAGUGCUCUCCACAGAGUCCGACAGCCGGAGCAGGGCGAUGUCCACGCCCAGACUGGCGUCGAUGUAGCUGGCGAGGACGACAACACGGCUCACGUCCAGCAGCCUCCUGCCCCUGGAGAGAUACACGUCCCCCGCAUGGAUGCGGUAGGCUGCGGGGUCGGCAUCCUUCCUGGGGUCAAAAAGAAGCCACAGCGGUGGGUCCUCCUAGGGCAGCCCUCUGGGCACCGCGGGGAUGGCCUUGGCAAUUCCAGAGAGAAUCCUCCCGUGAGCCCAGAUUUUAUACCUCCUGAUUCCCCGCCACGUCCCACUCAGAGCUGGGCAGCAGGGGAAAAGGCAGUGGGCGGCGGUCAGCACCCACUGGGCGGGGAUGAGGGAGCCCCCACAGAUGUGCUUCCGGGAGGCCCAGUAGUAAUCGUAGAUUCUCAGCCUGACCUGCCACGGCCACCUCCCCUGGGGGGCACUGUGGCCCCCCACGAUACCGGUCAACUCCCUCUCAGGGACGGAUGCUGGGGGGAAAAUGUGCAGGUGACAGGGACUUGGCCAUGCCGUCCCGCAGAGCCAGAGAUUCUGGGCCGUUCUCACCUAGGUCAGAGGGCUGGCUGGCCUGAGGGCAGGUCUGGGGUCCCGGGGCGGGGGACACUGUGCAGGGCUAGGACUCACCCGGGAUCUCAGCGGGCACGGAGUCCCCCAGGAGGGAGAGGGUCUGGAGCAGCAGCCACAGCAUCUGCAGGGAGGAGGGGGACGGCCGCUGUCAGGAGACCAGGGCAAGAUCCCAGGGUCUGGGAAGCCAGCCUCAGGGGUCUGACAGUCAAUCGGCUUCCUCACCGUGAUGGACACACAGCCUCCCUCCCUGGCCCUCCCUGGGAGUCUUUUUAUCUUUCUUUCCAAGGAAGUGGGUGCGGUCUGGUCAGACUUUCCUCCCCCCCGGGUUGGGGACAUGGUGCCAAGCUCGGCUGCACCUCUAGCCCCGUCCAUCCCCCGCUGGGCCCAGAGCAGCUCCCGAGGGAGACACAACGGACCAGCUGGAUGGCCUGUCCAGACCCACAUGUCCCAGUCGGGGCGAUCGUGUAAGUCUGGAGACAGUUUUGGGUGCCAGACUGUGGGGUCCUUCCAACAUGGAGACUGGGGACACGGCUAAGUGCCCUCCAUUGCACAGGGCAGCCCGCAGCAGAAGGUCUUCUGGCCCUCAAGUCUAGUGCCCCGGUUGAAAUGGCUGUAGUCCAGGCACGGCCAUUCUGGUGGCAGCAGACCUCGGCAGCUAGAGAAACCCAUUCUCCACAAGGGGAUGCCUGGCACUCGUCUCCCCUUGGCGGGUGCAGAAACCACAGCCCAUCGCAGCAGCCCAGAGCCCGGGGCUGUUCACCCACCAGAGCAGAGUUCCCACCUGGGUGCCGGGAUGCCCUUUAUACUGUGUACCGAACGUUGGCUGCAUGCAGGGAGAGAGUCCACUGUCCACGGGAUCUCAGACAGCUGGGAACUGCCUCCCAAAGACAGCCAGGCCCCCCACCGCCGCCGCCUGCCUCCCUGCCCCCGUCGCAUCUGGGGGCCGAGGGGCCCAGGGAGGGAGGCUAGCACACCUCUCUAGAGCAAGAGUCUUACUUUCUGUGGGGCUUGUAACGUGUGUGUGAGUGUGCCUGUGCGUGUAAGCAUGAGUGUGGGAGCCUGUGUCAGAGUGUGGGAGCGUGUGACAGCAUGUGUGUGGGCGUGUGUGCAAGCAUGAGUGUGGGAGUCUGCGCGUGAGCAUGUGGAUGUGCCAGAAAGAGCAGCUCUCCCUGCGCAGCCCUGGCUCCGGAUCCAACAGAGCCUCUCGGGGGCACAGGGUCCCCUGAGGGAGGAGGCAGGUGGGGAGGCUGGCCCCGCAGCUCCCGGAGCCCCUGUGCCCCGACGCCCACGGAGCGCCAGCCCGGCCCCCUUCCUGCUCGAGAGGAGACUCGGGAGACACACACAGACAGGGAGCCUUAGUCCUUGGCGACCCCUCUGGCCAGAGACACGGGAGAAGGUGGUGCGGCGCGGGCAGUGUGUCGGGCGGGGUGCACAACGUGCCCUGAGCCUCCACCCCAGACCUCCCGCCCGCACUGGCCUGGAGCGCAGACGCGCAGGGUGUCCUGGAAAGGUUAGGACAAGGGCCUGUGCAGAGAGCAGGACGCGGGAACACCGCCCCUUGGGAGUGGCCAUGGGCCGCCGUGGCCAGAUGUGGGACCUGUAGUGUCCUGGGCACCUCGACACCUGCGAAGGCGGGAGGAGCCCUGGGCCCAGGUGACUUCAAGGUCUGGGAGUCUGAGCCGGUCCUGUCAUUAUGGGAUGGGAGUAGCCUGCAUUCUUUUAUCUUUACGGGGUGCCUACCUGGAGUCAGGUGUGAGGUCUGGGUCAAUGGGGCAUUUUUGCCAGGACCAGGCCGGGGAGGUUGGCUGGCUCGGUGUCCCACAGGGUGUACGACUGAAGGAGAAGCUCCGAUGAACCCUGGAGGAAGUAGCAGGGUGGUGGCCUGAACAGUGUCAUCUUCCUGACCCCGGGCACCUGUGAACCUGACCUUAUUUGGAAACAGGGUCUUCGCGGUUGUGAGUUGAGGAUCUUAAGAUGAGGUCGUCUUGGAUUUAAGGUAGACCCUACAUCCAGAGACGGGCAUCCUUAGAAGACAAAGGAGAGGGGGUUUGAGACAAGGAGACUCUGGAGAGGAGGCGGCCAGGCUUCGGAGACCAGGCUGGAGUCAUGCGGCCGUGAGCCCCGGAUGCCCUGGGCUUCCCGCCGCCCCCAGGGCCUGUAGGGGGAGCCACCCCGCCCCACCCAGAUCUGCCGGGACGUGGAGGGGCGUCUGGGGUUUGACCCCACGCUGACCUGCAGCCCAGGAAGCUAGCACAGGUGUGGAGAAGGAGCAAAGACAGCCGUGGCUCUAACUGUUGGGUUCAGAUAAAGUGUUCAUUGCAAACAGGUGUGCUCCUGGCUGGAAUGGAAUUUCCGGUCAAAAGGGACCCUGAAACUUGGCAGGAGGCAGGAAGCAGCGGGCAAGGUAAGGCACCCCCACGUCUCUUGCUGGGAGGGGCUGCGAGCUAAAAGGACGGCCAUGCGUGUGCGUCUUCCUCGUGUGCCAGUCCCCUGGGUGCCCACGACGGGCUGGCCACCACCCCUUGAACCUUUCCCCCCCGGACCCAACACCAGAGCACGGAAGGGCCGAGAGCGCCUGCUGUGCGGCCGCAAGUGAGAGUUCAAACAAGUAGGAAGAGGCAGGUGGCGGAGGGACCGGCAGGCAGGGGCCCUUCGGAACCACGGGAGCCAGUGACCCACACAGCAUCUACGUGAGGAAACUUAUUUAUUUGAGAGAGAGAGACCCAGGUGCACUGGUGCUGGGGGAGGGGAGAGGGACAAGCAGACUCCCUGCAGAGCAGGGAGCCCGAUGCGGGACUCGAUCCUAGGACCUCGGGAUGAUGACCUGAGCCGAAGGCAGACGCUUCACCGACUCAACCACACAAGCGCCUGCACGUGAGGAACUUUGUAACUUUUUAAGGGGAUUUGUUGGUCCCAAGCCUGAUGCUCAGUGACUCAGCUGCACGGAGGGGCCACCCAGUCUUGUUCUGUGUGUAGAGAUGUGCGGGACAGGCAGAGCCGUGGACGUAGAAAGUGGAUCUGAGGUUGUCAGGGGCCGGGAGGGGAAACGGGAGAGCCGGCUCUGCGCACGGGCUUCUGUCCGGACGGGAAGCGACGAGACCGCCCGCUGCCCCGGGAGCUGGAUCUGGACAAUGGGAGGCUCCUCUCCCCCUCCCCUGUCCUUGGGAUGUGGGUUCCACUGGCCUUUUCACUCCCAGACGCUGCUCCAAGGACACAGCCCUGAGGUAGGGAUGUGGUGCUGGGAACACCUGCAUGGGGACUGAGCCCAGGGAAGGCCUCUCCCGACACCACCUCUCAGGCCCUGGUGGGCGGGUACAGGGACACAAGUUUCCACUGCUUAGGAACCCUGCCACCUACCCCCGUGGAGUGGCCUGCCUCUUCCUUCAGUCUCUGCCGGCCUUCCACGUGUGCGGCCGGUUUCAGAUGACACCCGGAGGCUCCCGAGGGGCCCGUGUGCACGCGGAGGAGGGCUCCCGGGUCCCUCUGCACUUGGCAGGACCUUUGCUGCAGGCCCUGGCGAGAUUCCUCCUUACCGAAUCUAUGAAGUCCCCCUCGGCCCAAGUUUGCUGAGAGUUUUAUCACAAGCGGUGGUUGAAUUUAUCAGCCAAAAGAAUCAAACGGGUUUCCCUUAUCUGUUGAGAUUACUACCAGGUUGUUCAUCUUGCUCUGUGAAGGUGGCCGGUUGUACCAGUAGAUUUUUCUGGCGUUAGACCAUCCUGGCUUGGACCCUCUUCCGUCUUAUUGUGACGUUUUAAAGACGGUAUUGGGUCAGGUUGUUCACGUUUUCUCUUGGAUCUUGAAUCGACGUUCAUCAUUGAACGUGGUCUGAACAUGUCCCUUAUUCCACGUGCACGGCGCUGUUCUCGGGGCGACACGAAUCUCACAGAACUCGCCGGGGAUCCCUCCUCUUCCUUCCAUUGCCUAGGGGGUUUGCACGACGUGGGGGUGGUCUGGCCCUGGAGGGCUGAGUGUCGUUCUUCCGGGAAACCACGUGGGACUGGUGUGUUAACUUGUACUCCGUCGUCUGGGGCGAUUGUCCGCUGCCCACACGCGGCUCCUCGGUGGUCACACGUCUGUCCGGGCGUCCCUCGUCCUCCCGAGUCGUGCUGAGCUGUGCCUGCCCUCACGGUGCCCAUUGCAUCUGACAGCAAACUCGGGGUUCACAGCCGGUCGAGUGUGUGUUCACCCCCGUCCUGUUCCUGACGUUGGCCUCCUGCCCGAUUCACCGCCCUGCAACUCUGCCUCCCGCUUCAGGUCCAGGACCCGACUGGUGGCUUUGCAGCCCUGUCAUUUCUUUAUGGUCUGUUUCAUGUGUUUCUUUUACUUACUUUUUAAAAAGAUUUUAUUUGUGUAUUUAUUUAUUUGAGAGAGAAAGAGAGAGAGAAAGCACAAGCUGAGGGAGGGGCAGAGGCAGAGGGAGAAGCAGGCUCCCCGCGGGGCAGGGAGCUCGACUCGGGGCUCGAUCCCAGGACCCUGGGGUCAUGACCUGAGCCGAAGGCAGCCGCUUCACUGACUGAGCCACCCGGGCGCCCCGACCUGAGAAUUUUUGGAAGUGUAUCUUUAGGUUUGCACGUGCAGGAGAGUUUGCGCCCACAAUCUGAUAGGAGAUCGAGCAGGUCUAAAAUAACAACGUAGCCCCGUCUUGGUUUGAACACAAGGUAACUGAAAGUGAGCUCGAGAGCAGAAAGCAGGCUGGGUAGUCACUGAGGGUGAUCAGACACCCCAGGACCCUCCCUUGGAAAUUCGGACAGCCACGAGUCUGGUGAAGUUGCCUCACCGCACGUGUUCAGCUGCAACCUGUUUGUGCAGAUCUCUCGCGUGGCCAGACAUUUCAUUUCUACUGGAGGCGUUUGGACCUUCCCAAUCCCACAGCCCAGUGACGGGUGCGUGGGGAGGGCAGCCCUGGGAGGCUCCCGGUGCAGGGAGACCCGCCUGGGACUAGAACAGGGCCCAGGGCGACAUCUGCAAGCACGUGGUGGGGCCUCCAGCCUCCCUCCCCCAAGCCUGCCCUGGAGCCAGGGGAAGCAGCCGGAAGUUUCUUCUGGGGAAACUGAACGACCUCAGGGGAAAACAAACCAACAAACAGAACCAGACAUUGCGGGUGUCCCACAGGGCAGCGGGUUUGGCAGGAUGACCAUCAGGCAAGCGCUGGGGAGCACAGGCACUUGGCAGUCAAGACUGCGGACCCGGUAGAGCCCAGCCAGGGCAGGGAGGCCAGGACAGGGGGCCAGGGCAGGGCGGCCAGGACAGGG